rnacentral:rRNA from 1 species
GGCAAUCUGCCCUGCACUCUGGGACAAGCCCUGGAAACGGGGUCUAAUACCGGAUACUGACCUGCCAAGGCAUCUUGGCGGGUCGAAAGCUCCGGCGGUGCAGGAUGAGCCCGCGGCCUAUCAGCUUGUUGGUGAGGUAAUGGCUCACCAAGGCGACGACGGGUAGCCGGCCUGAGAGGGCGACCGGCCACACUGGGACUGAGACACGGCCCAGACUCCUACGGGAGGCAGCAGUGGGGAAUAUUGCACAAUGGGCGAAAGCCUGAUGCAGCGACGCCGCGUGAGGGAUGACGGCCUUCGGGUUGUAAACCUCUUUCAGCAGGGAAGAAGCGAAAGUGACGGUACCUGCAGAAGAAGCGCCGGCUAACUACGUGCCAGCAGCCGCGGUAAUACGUAGGGCGCAAGCGUUGUCCGGAAUUAUUGGGCGUAAAGAGCUCGUAGGCGGCUUGUCGCGUCGGUUGUGAAAGCCCGGGGCUUAACCCCGGGUCUGCAGUCGAUACGGGCAGGCUAGAGUUCGGUAGGGGAGAUCGGAAUUCCUGGUGUAGCGGUGAAAUGCGCAGAUAUCAGGAGGAACACCGGUGGCGAAGGCGGAUCUCUGGGCCGAUACUGACGCUGAGGAGCGAAAGCGUGGGGAGCGAACAGGAUUAGAUACCCUGGUAGUCCACGCCGUAAACGGUGGGCACUAGGUGUGGGCAACAUUCCACGUUGUCC